UGGGGAAUAUUGGACAAUGGGCGCAAGCCUGAUCCAGCAAUGCCGCGUGAGUGAUGAAGGCCUUAGGGUUGUAAAGCUCUUUCGCACGCGACGAUGAUGACGGUAGCGUGAGAAGAAGCCCCGGCUAACUUCGUGCCAGCAGCCGCGGUAAUACGAAGGGGGCUAGCGUUGCUCGGAAUUACUGGGCGUAAAGGGCGCGUAGGCGGCCUGUUUAGUCAGAAGUGAAAGCCCCGGGCUCAACCUGGGAAUAGCUUUUGAUACUGGCAGGCUUGAGUUCCGGAGAGGAUGGUGGAAUUCCCAGUGUAGAGGUGAAAUUCGUAGAUAUUGGGAAGAACACCGGUGGCGAAGGCGGCCAUCUGGACGGACACUGACGCUGAGGCGCGAAAGCGUGGGGAGCAAACAGGAUUAGGAUACCCUGGUAGUCCACGCCGUAAACGAUGAAUGCUAGACGUCGGGGUGCAUGCACUUCGGUGUCGCCGCUAACGCAUUAAGCAUUCCGCCUGGGGAGUACGGCCGCAAGGUUAAAACUCAAAGGAAUUGACGGGGUC
rnacentral:rRNA from 1 species